rnacentral:rRNA from 1 species
CAGCAGCCGCGGGAACACAGAGGGUGCAAGCGUUAAUCGGAAUUACUGGGCGUAAAGCGCGCGUAGGUGGUUUGUUAAGUUGGAUGUGAAAUCCCCGGGCUCAACCUGGGAACUGCAUCCAAAACUGGCAAGCUAGAGUAUGGUAGAGGGUGGUGGAAUUUCCUGUGUAGCGGUGAAAUGCGUAGAUAUAGGAAGGAACACCAGUGGCGAAGGCGACCACCUGGACUGAUACUGACACUGAGGUGCGAAAGCGUGGGGAGCAAACAGGAUUAGAUACCCCGGUAGUCCCUGUCUCUUAUAA